AAUAUGCGGGGGAUGAUUUGGGUAAGCGAUGAUAGAAGGACGAAAAAGUUUCGAAAUAAUAAGGUAAAGCAACUUUGACCCUUAUUUUUCCUAUGGAGAAAUCCAAUCUAUACAAAAUACCUUGUGAACUGAAACAUCUUAGUAACAAGAGGAAAAUAAAUCAAUCGAGAAUAAGGCAGUAGUGGUGAACGAAGCCUUGUUAGUCUAGAGUUAAAAUUAUGUGGUUCGAGAAGAAAUUCACAAUAUAGGGUAAAAGAGUCCCGUAAGAACUAGCCUUUCGGGGUGAUAAUUAAACUUAAUCAAGUAGAACUCAUUUGAGUUUGAAUUCGGGGGAGCUAUCCUCCAAGACUAAUUACAUCAUUACACCGAUAGUGAAGAAGUAACGUGAGUGAAAAUUGAAAAUUCUGUAUACAGUACUGAAAGAGAACUGAAACCGAAUAUUCUUAAGCGCAUCUAUAAGAUGGUACCUUUUGUAUAAUGGAUUUGCAAGUUAUAAUAUUAUGUUUGGUUAAUACCGUAGUGAAAACAAGUUUUAAUAGAGCGUUUUUAAUAUAAUAUUAUAGGACCCGAAACCCAGUGAUCUAGUCAAGGGCAGAUUGAAGCUAACUUAAUUUUUAGUGGAGGAUCGAACCAGUGGUUGUUGCAAUAACCUUGGAUGACCUUUGAUUAGGGGUGAAAUGCCAAUCGAACUGGGAUAUAGCUGGUUAUCUUCGAAACGUAUUUAGGUACGGCGUCUAAUAUUAUUUUUAUGCGGUAAAGCACUGAUUAAGUUGUUGGCUUCUCUUUGAGUUGUACUUCACUUCUUCAAACUCAGAAUUCAUAAAAACGUAGUUAGAUAGACAGACUCAGGGCGAUAAGGUUCUGUGUCAAGAGGGAAACAACCCAGACCUAAAGUUAAAGUCAUCAAUAUAAAACGAGUGUUAAAGGCUUUCUAUAGACUAAUACAUUUAAAAAGUGGGCUUAGAAACAGCCACUUUCGACGAUAACGUAACAGUUCACUAAGCUAAAAUCAUAUAUAUAAAGUCUCUUACAUGAAAGUGUAGGAGGUGUAUGUGUUAAUAGGAACCGAAAAUUCAGGUGGCUAAUUUUUUAACUGAAACUUAGGCUUAAUAUUAAGUUAUUAAGAGUAGAAGAUUAUUUUGUAAAUUGACUUAUGCGUCUUGUAAAAGAUGAAAUAGAUAAUCAAAAGUAACAAUGCAAAUAUGAGUAACUAUAAAAUCGUAUAAAAAAACGAUUCACCGAAAACCCAAGGUUUUUCAGGGAUAUGAUGAACAUUCUGUUUCCUAAGCAGCCCCUAAGAUUGUAAUGUGAAAACAACUGUCGAUGGGCAAUCUCUUAUCUGACGUUUAUUCAGGAAUAAACCGAGAAAGAAGAUAGAGAAUAAAUACUGUACUAAAACUAACACAAGGGGGUAGGAAGAGCAUUCUAAGGUGAUAGGGGAAUUAUCCAUAAGGAACUCGGCAAAAUGUCCUCGUACGUUCGCAAGAAGAGGACCCCAAGAGAAUUGGGGAGCAUAAAAUCGAGAAGCGGAACUGUUUACCAAAAACACAGCUUUAAGCUAAGACGUAUGUCAUUGUAUUUGAAGUGACUCCUGCCCAAUGGUUGUAAUCGAAAAUGUUUAACCAAUGUAUAAGAUCAACUUAAUGGCGGCCCUAACUCUGAGGGUCCUAAGGUAGCGCAAUCAAUAUCCAGUUAAUUGCUGGAAAGUAUGAAAGGAGUAAUCAUGCUUCUACUGUCUCAUGGAUAAACCUAGUGAAAUUGGAGUCGUAGUGAAGAUACUACGUUAAGUGUUGCAGGACAAGAAGACCCUUGAAGCUUUACUGUUAUGUUGUCACGUUCAUUUUUUCUUUGUGUGUAGAAUAGCUGGUAGUUGUUAACGAGCCCACAUCGCCAGAUGUCAGGUUAAACGAAAAUUGAAAUACCAGUCUCAUUGUUUUAAAUGAUACUAAUAGGAAUAGAAACAGGCAUCAGAGACAGUUUUACUGGGGCGGUAGCCUUUUAAAAUGUAACAAAGGCUUUCAAUAGGUCGGUUCAGCUUCAUUAGAAAUGAUGCGAUGAGUGUAAAAGCAUAAACCGGCUUGACUGUGAGAUUGAUGAAUCGAACAGGGUCUAACGACGGAUUUAGUGACCCGCAUGUUAUUUAUAGCCUUACAUGCGAUCAUAAGUUAAGUUACUCAAGGGAUAACAGUGUAAUAGCGGGUAAGAGUCCUUAUCGACCUCGCUGUUUGCCACCUCGAUGUUGAAUUGCAAUAUCCUGCUGGUGCAGCCGCUAGCAAGGGUUGGACUGUUCGUCCAUUAAAAUUGUACAUGAUUUGAGUUCAGAACGUCGUGAGACAGUUCGGAUUCUAUCCGCAAUACUAUUCUAAAACUAAAAAGAACUUUUCAUUGUACGCAAGGACUUGAAAGGCGAUUCCAAUGGUGUAUCAGUUGUUUUAAAAGGCAUCGCUGAGUAGCUACGAAUCUUAUCUUAAGGGCUGGAGGCAGCUUAAGCCCGAAAUCUACUUUUUUUACGUUUUUAAUUUUUGAGUCAGACUAACUCUAAGUAUAGGCUAUAGGUAUAAUUUAUGCAAAUAAGUUAGCUUAAUAGUACUAAAAAAGUAUAAGUAAUCCAC
rnacentral:rRNA from 1 species